CUGCGCUUCCUGUAAACCCAACUCCGGAAGCCAGUAAGUGGCCAGGAAGAGGGAGAUCCUGGAGCUGCCCCCUAAUGGACCACAAGCAAGACAAGUGCUGGGGAGGCUGGGGAUGGUGUCCAGGUGUCAUUGCUAACAAGUAACAACCAGCGAAACUGCAGGGUGAUCAGACAAGGCUGCAGAGACCAGAAUGAGGAGAAGGAGCUAGCCAAACAAAGAUCUGGAAAGGGCCUUCUCACAGGGGACCUGGUGCAAAGGCUGGAAUGAGCCUGUUUCCAUCUGUAUCAGAUGUCAAAGUUGCAUCUGUCAAAAAAGAGCCAAAGAUGACACAUCACAUUGAUCAGUUAGGAGGAGCUGGAUUGUAGCACAUCCUUCC